ensembl:lncRNA
CCCGACUCCUGUGCUUUCUGUCUGCCUCUUCCUCAUCCCCCCUCCCAAAGGAGUCGGUGGCUAAGGGGCAAUGUCCACAUGGCAGCUGUAGGGCUUCCAUCAGGAGCCCCACACAUGGAGGACAUUUUAUCUAAAUUUGCAAUGAUUUGCUUCUCACUGCAGACACUUCUUUUUAGCAUUAUUGAUCUCCUCUGACUCCUGAGCCACAUCUGAUGUCUCUGACCCUGGUUUGCAGCAGGAGCAGUUGGAGGAACCACCUGAGACCGUCUGGCAUUGUGAUAAUUUCCGCUUCUCUUUCUGUUUGUAUCAGCCUUCUUGUUCUGCCUUGAAAUAGUUUUGUGCCAUUGCAGGUGGGGUCUGGAGCCUGCAUCCUUUGUGUCACGCCUCUCAAUAGGGUACUGACUUCUCUUGGGCUCAGGAUCCCUCUCCUAUAAGGACUGGGCUGUCCCAGGGCCAGAAUGGCUCUCAAAGCUUGGGUUUCUUUUCCAGGAACUCAGCCAGUAUAAUUUCUGAAUAUAACUGGAAGGGGGAGGGAGAAGAUACUAUUUAAUCAGUGCAUAUAAACAGAAAUGACAGUAUAAGAUGAGGAAGAAAGGGACUAAAAGGAGGGGCACCAUCUUUUGCUUUUUUUCCUUCUUAGAAUUGAAAGCUUUCCUGAAUUACCUCUAGGGCUUUAGUGAGAAAAGUCCAGGAAAUUUUUUCUUUACUUUUAUCAAGCCAAGGAACAGCUAUAAAUAUUAGGCUCCCUUAAUUGCUAGGCCCUGUCUGCAUGGAGAAAGAAGUAAAUCAGAGAGUUGGGGUAAUUACUUAAGAAAUUUUCUCCAGAGCCUCUGCUCAGGAGGGGUUUAAUUUGAUUGCUUGCUUUAAAUUUACUGCCCCCUCAAUUCAUCAGCUUUAUCAGAUUUUACUUGUAUAGGCCCAUAUUCAUUCCACCUCUCUCUCUCUGUUUCUUUCUCUCCCCUCCCUACUCUUUUGCUGUGCGGAUGCAUGUCUAUUUUUCCAGGCAGGUGACAACUGAAUGAUGGGUCUCUACCAAUAAUCUCAAAUAAUCUCAUCCUUAGUCUAAACUUCAUUUUAUUUCAAAACUGGCAGUAUUAUCUAAAUUGUUAACAAAUCACUGCAUUAAAUUAUGGUUCCUAGAAGGUGAACGACAAAUAGUUGACUAUCACACCCUUACCCUGAGUAUAGUUCUCUCUGUAUCAUAUAAUUAUUUUAUGUUUUUGCUGGCAUGGCUAGCACCAAGCAUCCCAGUACAUCACAUACACUCUGUUGCUUUAACCUGUUGCCAUGACAACCUUGACAUUCUCCCACAGCAACAAAAUUUAAAUAUGUAUCUAUGAAUUUGAAGAAACGACUAAGAUUAAAUAAAAUUCUACUAACAUCAAUCUGUCUCAUAUGACAUGCUGAGAUGAUUUCCAUAAUAACAAUUAUUGGAUAUAAUUGCAUGAGAUGCAAUCCAUAGUUAAUCUUUCCUGGAAAAGUACAAAGUAAUCAGGUUCUUUCAUAAGCAAAUGGGUGACUACCCUAUUCAAUUAUUCACUAUCUUUUAAAUGUCUGUGUAUGCCACCAUUUUAGGCACAUGUAUCUGUAAAGGUACACUCCAGUAACAACUAGACCACAAAAUAAAGUUAUUUUUAAAAGGAAAUAUAUUUCUUCCUCUUGUAAUAGCCUGACAUAUUAUUUCUAAUCAAUAGCAGCUUUCUUGAAUGCAGUGAUCCUGAGCCCCAGGUUCUUUCCAUCACAUAGCUCAGCCAGCUCUUGAGCCUUUAUCAACUUCUGCAUGUAGCUGGCAGCAGGCAGAAGAGGGCCUGGAGAUGAUGUGGCUUGUAAAUAAAUGCCUUAAAGGGAAAGACAUCACUACUGCUUAUUUAUCAUUGGCUAGAACUAGUCACAUGGCCAGCCCUAGAUGUAAAUGGACCUGGAAAAUGCAGUCCUGGCUUGGCAGGAGCAUCUCAGCAGCAAUUCUGUAUUACAGCAGGAAAAUCAUGAAUUUUAGUAGAUAGCUAGCUAGCUCUGUCAUUGUGCAGGCCGAUAAGAAGAAGAGGAAAUUGGGCCUCAAACCUAGGAAGGGUUCACAGUUUGCUGGGGAGAAGGUUGUGUACCAUGUAAGAGCUGUCUUCAAGGAGUGAGCUGAGUGCCGUGGAGAGUGACGACUUCUGCUUGGCGGGGUUGGGGAAGAUGGUGACACUGCUUUUACAGCAGUGGUACCUUUGCUCAGGAGACGUAGCCUAUAGUAAUCUUAAAGUAGUGGACUUGGUUAAAAGCAUUGUGUAGGAAUGGGAGGCUGGAGGAGAUGGGAAUGAAGAGGAAUAAUGAGAUAAUGUAGUUGUCUCUGCUGGUUCUUGAGUGUUAAGCCUCUAUUUUUCCCUCACUCUCCACUUGCCUUAUCACGAGUGGGUGACCUUGAUGAGACAUUUUCAACACGGUAUCUUUGCUUCCUUUUAAUCUCCUGUCAGUUGCUAUCACUGUCAGCAUGACCUAGCUCCAGUGAGACAUUUGGCUUUCACUGCAGCCUUACCGGGAAUGUUAAACUAUGUGCAAUCGUCAGGGUGGGAGGAAGCCGUAAAGUGGACACAUUACUUGAGGAGGUCCCUGAAGGAUAAUGGUCUUUCCUCUCAACAUUACAAGGAUUAGGAAGGCCUGCAUUUUGACUUUCUGGAUUCUUCUCUAGUUUGGGUUGAUAGAACUCGUCCUUUGAAUGUGGUCUCUUGAGGGCAGACUGCUGUUGUAUGCCAGGUGAAUUGUAAUGGACCCUUUCUUGUCAAGAAUGAGAAUGACCAGUGAUCAGUUUAAUGAAAGGCUCCAAGACUCCUGACAGAACUUUCGUUGGUGGAUUUGGUUUUUGUUUGUUUGGGUUUUUUUUUUUUUUUUUUUUUUUUUUUUUUUUUUUUGUCUUUUCUAGGGCCGCACCCCAGGCAUAUGGAGGUUCCCAGGCUUUAAGGGUCUAAUCAGAGCUGUAGUCACUGGCAUACACCACAGCCACAGCAACGCGGGAUCUGAGCCUCGUCUGUGACCUACAUGGUGGUGGAUUUGUGGUUGUACCAUUCUUUGGGGUCUGUUUCUGAAACGAAUACCAAAAUGCAGCAAUCACCAUAAAAAUGCUUUGAAAAGUUAGAGUGACUUCAAUGCAGAUGAAAGAAGGUACUCAAUGAUUAUUUCAAAUGGAGAAUUUCCCUCAUGAUGUUUAGAUGAGGCACUUCAACUAGUCUGUCUUAUCUGAGGAAAAGCAGAAGUUGAGUUUGUGUGAGGCAUUUUAGUGAUUCUUUGAGCUGCUCCCCAACCACAGUAGGCAUGGAAAGAGAUCCAUGGAUAAAUCAUAAGCCUUGAAGUAGCUGGAGGUGGGCUGGGGACACAGGAACAACAAACAUAAAACAAUUGACAAGACAUGAAUGUAAAUGCAUAAAUUGACAGAAGAAAUGGAGGCAGUUAUUCAGAUAAUUAUGAAUUAUCUAUGAAUUACUUGCAUUUUUAUACAUUUUGCCAUUAAACAGAAUAGUUUCCUCCCUUUGAAAGCUUUUUAAGGAAAAAGGGGAGAAUUUCAUCGUUUUACUUGAUUUUCAGAUCUUGGUCCUUGAAUUCUGGUUGUGGCUUUGCCUCCUCUUCCCGCUAAAAUAGUGUCAGAGCCUUUGUUUCCAUAAAUCUGUAGAUGGACAACAUCUCCUGCUUUUCUACAGGCUCUGGAUUCUAACGGUACACGCUAAGGUUUUCUACUUUUUAUCAUGUUUGCUUUUGCUCUACCCUGCAUUUGAUGAGUUGCAGAAAGCAAGUGUUAAUCAUGAUAUAGCCUCUUGGCUUCCCACUACUUUUUCUCUGAGCUCUGGUCUUCCUUUCACUCUAUUCUUUUAUUUAUUUAUUUAUUUAUUUUUCUUCUAGAUUUGAAUCUUUUCCAGGUUCAGUGCUUGCACUUCAGUAGAGAUCUGGACCUCAAAAAAAAAAAAAAAAAAAAAAAA